GGGGAUGCUUUGGCUUUGAUGGCGAUCCGUUGUGAGCUGGCGGGCUGAUGGCGACGACAUAAUCGUCGCAAAAAACAAAACUGCCAACAAUAAAGUUGCAGCUCCUGCAUUCGCUUUUGUGUAGUGCAGGGAUCGGUUGGGUUCCAGUUUCCUAAUCCAAAUACCGGUCUUAUAUAUGGAAGCUUGGCGUUUUAAUGACGAUUCUUUUUAAAACGCGAGAAAUAUGAAUCAAAACUGUUUAGUUUUCUAAACUACACCCGUAGAUAGCUCAUUAAUUGUUUCGUCAGACGAGGGUUCAACUCCCUCCAUCUCCACAA
rnacentral:tmRNA from 1 species